GCGAUAAAUCUCGUUGUCGCGAUAAAUCCGGCUAGAAAAUUGCUCGUAUUCGACUCGAGUGUAAAAUUGCUGUCAAGCCUUUCGAACGAGUACAGCUACUUUUAACAUAAAAUUUACUUCUAAUCGGCCACAACUGGAUUCGUUCGAAUGACGAUUAUCACAGGAUAAAGAUACCUUAAAUGGAUCAUUAAUGUCGAUAUCGAGAAAUCAAUGAAGGAUUACACGAUAGAUCGCUCAAAUUCCCGUCGAUCGUUGCGUCAGACACAGUCAUCAAUACAUCGAAAAUAUAAUUAUUCUCGCAGUACCGCUUGCCAUAUGUUGCUUUUAACAACGUACAAGCAUAAUCUCUCGAGGAAGUGGUUUUUAGAGUCGAAAGGUGCUUCUGCUUGAUCUUUCACCUUCUAUCUAUCCGUUGAAAUUCUGUUAGAGAGAAUAGAAGAAUGUAAAUAUUACUCAUUUAAAUGCAAGGAAUUAGGAGAGGAGCUAGUUUAAUUUGUGAACAUUAUGAAAUUGAGAAGAACAUAUGAUAAAUAUUUAAUAUAUUUAGAAAUUUUUUAACCAAGGAUAUUUAAGGAUAGGAUAGAUUUCACGGUUCGUGGCUUCUUGACAUCACGCUCUUCUCCCUUUAUUUUUAACUUAUUUGGCUACAGAAUAUCACAACAUGAUAGAGAUCGAACUUUAGAUUUGCACCGAUCGUAGUAUGUGUGUGUAUAUGUUAUGCGUGUGAAACUCUCUUUCAUCGAUCGAAUCGAUAUCUUUGGUCUUUUACAUAUUUUUGAACAAAAUCUAAAUGAUAUUUAGAAAUUCUUCGAAAGAAAUUGACUCGAUUAAAAUUUGUCCAGAUCCACAAAUCAGAGAUAUAAAAUAAAUGACGAUAAAUUUCGAUUCGAUCGGUCGAAUUUCACGAAAAAUAGGGUCGAUGAUAACGUCAUAACGAAUAGUCGGCGCCAUGUUCAACAGACAUAUCAUUUUGUUAAUCUUUUUUUUCUUUUUUUUUCUUUUUUUUUUACACA